GACAGAGGGGGCAAGCGUUGUUCGGAAUUACUGGGCGUAAAGCGCGCGUAGGCGGCUUUGUAAGUUAGAGGUGAAAGCCCGGAGCUCAACUCCGGAACUGCCUUUAAGACUGCAUCGCUAGAAUUGUGGAGAGGUGAGUGGAAUUCCGAGUGUAGAGGUGAAAUUCGUGGAUAUUCGGAAGAACACCAGUGGCGAAGGCGACUCACUGGACACAUAUUGACGCUGAGGUGCGAAAGCGUGGGGAGCAAACAGG
rnacentral:rRNA from 1 species